GUGGAGUCUCUCUCAUUAUUAUUCUCCUGCUCUUGUUGUAUCGCUGCAGACAGUCCAAGUAUUCCUGCUUCACCAGGUCGAUCCAGUCUGAGAGUCACAGUCCGGGCUCCUCCACAAAUCAUGGAGUCAACCAGAAUGAAACUCAUGUGUACGGCUCUCUUCAACAUGGUAUCAUUAAUCUCUAUGAAUCUGUUACGCACGUCGAAGACAACAGAAAUGGUGCAGUAUAUGUGUUGAAAAGCACAGAGCAGUUAGAGAUGAAACUUGUUUUUGAUUUAAUUGACAUUUUUUUAAAUUAAAUUCUAUUUGACAUAUAUUUACACUCCUGUAACUAAAAUAUGAACAUUUCAGGAUCAGAUGAACAUCAAGACGUCACAUACGCUCUCAUUGAAUUUAAAACCUCUGGAAAGAAGAGGAAGCAUCAUAAACCAGAGCAGAGUGCUGUUUACUCUGAGGUGAAGACGGGAGCUGCAG